UCCGGUGGCAAUAGCGGAGGUUAAAAACCCGUUCCCAUACCGAACACGGAAGUGAAGCCCUCCAGCGCCGAUGGUACUGAUUACUCGGAAGAGUAGGUCGCUGCCGGUA
rnacentral:rRNA from 1 species